rnacentral:rRNA from 1 species
ACAGCAGUAGCCACGGGAAUACGUAGGGUGCAAGCGUUAAUCGGAAUUACUGGGCGUAAAGCGUGCGCAGGCGGUGUUGUAAGACUGAUGUGAAAUCCCCGGGCUCAACCUGGGAACUGCAUUGGUGACUGCAGCGCUGGAGUGCGGCAGAGGGGGAUGGAAUUCCGCGUGUAGCAGUGAAAUGCGUAGAUAUGCGGAGGAACACCGAUGGCGAAGGCAAUCCCCUGGGCCUGCACUGACGCUCAUGCACGAAAGCGUGGGGAGCAAACAGGAUUAGAUACCCCCGUAGUCCCUGUCUCUUAUAC